rnacentral:sRNA from 1 species
GUAAUUUGUUCUUUAUUUUGUUUCUGUGAUUGGAUUUGUCCUGAGUACUCUCUUCCAAGUUUAUUCACACAAUGGACUGUGUGAUUUAAGUUUGUGGGAGGGCUCAGGAAGUGUGUGUUGCAUUGUAUAUACUCUUGAGUCUGCAUUCAUCUAAGGCAUAGAAAAACCAAAAAAAAUUGAAAAAUUUCAGAAAAUGAUUUCACAAAAAAAUAGUGUUCAUGUAGUUGCAUUACAUUUAGGAUCGAAUCUAGAGUGUUUCAUUUAAGAUUGUUGCAUAUGCAUAGGGGAUAAUGAUGAGAUAGCCUUGUAAGCAUUUUGCUUCACCAGAUAAACUUAGUGCCCUCGUUGCUAGUUGUCUGUUGCAUAGUCAAUGAAAUUGAAGUAAAACUGUACCAUGUCUAGAUUGCUCUACUCGACCACACUGUCAUGAUCUGAUACCAUUCCCUAUCAAUUUGAACCUGAAUCUGAUCUUUAAUUAUCAUGUCUGCAUCAAAUUUAAACUCAUGGAUACCCUAAAAUACUUGGAUUUUCUUAUUCAUUUUGAUCACUCUUGUUAAUCCAAGUAGCUGACUCUCCUUAUUAGAGUAGUUAACCCAAACCCAAACCUAGAUUUUCUUUCAAGCCCUAUAUCACUUGUGAGUGUUUGUGAGAUCUUAUUCCGAUUAAGCUUGGUAGAAAGUGUGAGGUUCGUAACGACAGAGAUAGUGUCUCAUGUAGUUCUAGUUCGCAUUUUUUGGAUUGGAUAGGACUAGGUGGGCGCUUAUACUUUGGGUUGAGAUGUGUUUAAAAGAAAAAAAAAAGGGUUGAUUCAUUGAUGAGAAAAGGUAAAAGAGUCUUGGUGAAGUAAGCUAAAAAAGCAGAAAAAGUCUAGUAAAGGUUUUGGGAUUUGUAAAGAAAAGAAAGAGUUCUUGUUAGCUAUUGAAGAUGGGCAAAAACCCUCGGUUUUAAAAUGUUAAAAACAAGAACCUUAGUCGUUGAAGAAAUCCAAAUCCGCUAGAUGUAUCAAAGUGUUGAGAAAGCUUCUCCUAGAGUUAAGAGAAAAGAAAAGAAUGAUUAGAAAAAGGGCUUAAAAGAUUCAUGAAUGCAAAGGGUAGAGUUAAGUUCUUAUAUUGGGAUGGGAGAUGGGAUUACAUUAGAGCUUCUUUUGAUAUACUCUGGGUAGAUGGGAUCUUAUCUCUGUAUGCAUAGCUUGGGACUUACCUUUAGCAUUCUACUAAAUCUUAAUCAUUUUUUGAGAGAUCCCGUGUUACUGAAGCCUAUUCUGUAAGGGACCAUCUUUGUCUCUUGACCUUUUACCUUAGUCAAAUGAGUUCAUUGAUGAUGCAUUGCUUGAUUCACGUUCCUGAACUAAUG